rnacentral:rRNA from 1 species
GAGCGGAGUUAUUCGCCGGUAGCGGCCUUCGGGCCAAUCCUUGAGUAACUUAGCGGCGGACGGGUGAGUAACAGGUGGGUAAUCUGCCCUUUGCUGUGGGAUAACAGCCGGAAACGGUUGCUAAUACCGCAUAAGCACACACAAUCGCAUGGUUGAGUGUGAAAAGAUUUAUCGGCAAAGGAGGAGCCCGCCCUGAAUUAGUUAGUUGGUGGGGUAAUGGCCUACCAAGACCGCGAUUCAUAGCCGAACUGAGAGGUUGAUCGGCCACACCGGGACUGAUACACGGCCCGGACUCCUACGGGAGGCAGCAGUGAGGGAUAUUGCACAAUGGGCGAAAGCCUGAUGCAGCAACGCCGCGUGAAGGAAGAAGGCCUUCGGGUUGUAAACUUCUAUCGAUGGGGACGAAAAAAAUGACGGUACCCAAGUAAGAAGCCCCGGCUAACUACGUGCCAGCAGCCGCGGUAAU